rnacentral:rRNA from 1 species
AAGUCGUAACAAGGUUUCCGUAGGUGAACCUGCGGAAGGAUCAUUAAUGGGAUUGGUCUCUAAGACCUAACCUUCGACCCUUUGUCUUAACAACCCUUGUUUCUUUGGCGGGCUCGCCCGUCAGAAGAAUUCUUAAACUCAUUUAAACCAUGUCUUCUGAAAUACAAAACAAAAUAAAAUUAAAACUUUCAACAACGGAUCUCUUGGUUCUGGCAUCGAUGAAGAACGCAGCGAAAUGCGAUAAGUAAUGUGAAUUGCAGAAUUCAGUGAAUCAUCGAAUCUUUGAACGCAUAUUGCGCCCUUUGGUAUUCCGAAGGGCGUGCCUGUUCGAGCGUCAUUACACCCCUCAAAUAUCACUAUUUGAUGUUGGGUACUGCCGGAAGGCAUACCUAAAAAUUAGCGACGGUUACAAUCAACCUCAGGCGUACAAACAUCGCUAUGGUGGAAGGUUGGGGCCUGUCUUUAACUAAAAAAUUAUCUAAAUGUUGACCUCGGAUCAGGUAGGAAUACCCGCUGAACUUAA